rnacentral:misc_RNA from 1 species
GCAAAACUCUCAGAAGAAAAGCUUAAAAACAAAGUUAUUGCAGGCAAGAACAGAGAGCCAGAAGGUACAGCUGCGCCAGGUCUUGAAGCAGAAGAUCUGAGAUGAGCGUUCUUAAUACAUGAGCUCUGAAGCCUCCUGCUAACAGAUAUUGUGGAAAGCUCCAAACUUCAAAGUUGUAUUAUCAUUUUCUCCAAAUCUAAUUAAUUAAAUAGUAUAUUUAAUUUAAUAUCAUAUUUUAUUUAUGU